UACGGAGGGUGCAAGUGUUAUCCGGAUUCACUGGGUUUAAAGGGUGCGUAGGAGGGCAGGUAAGUCAGUGGUGAAAUCUCCAAGCUUAACUUGGAACUGCCGUUGAUACUAUCUGUCUUGAAUAUUGUGGAGGUGAGCGGAAUAUGUCAUGUAGCGGUGAAAUGCUUAGAUAUGACAUAGAACACCAAUUGCGAAGGCAGCUGGCUACACGAAUAUUGACACUGAUGCACGAAAGCGUGGGGAUCAAACAGG
rnacentral:rRNA from 1 species